rnacentral:rRNA from 1 species
GACGAACGCUGGCGGCGUGCUUAACACAUGCAAGUCGAACGGAAAGGCCCUGCUUUUGUGGGGUGCACGAGUGGCGAACGGGUGAGUAACACGUGAGUAACCUGCCCUUGACUUUGGGAUAACUUCAGGAAACUGGGGCUAAUACCGGAUAGGAGCUCCUGCUGCAUGGUGGGGGUUGGAAAGUUUCGGCGGUUGGGGAUGGACUCGCGGCUUAUCAGCUUGUUGGUGGGGUAGUGGCUUACCAAGGCUUUGACGGGUAGCCGGCCUGAGAGGGUGACCGGCCACACUGGGACUGAGAUACGGCCCAGACUCCUACGGGAGGCAGCAGUGGGGAAUAUUGCACAAUGGGCGGAAGCCUGAUGCAGCAACGCCGCGUGCGGGAUGACGGCCUUCGGGUUGUAAACCGCUUUCGCCUGUGACGAAGCGUGAGUGACGGUACUGGGUAAAGAAGCACCGGCUAACUACGUG